CUUACCUUGCAGGUGAACGAUGCUCGUCGUUUUUGCAGUCAAUGGAGCGUACGAACCAAUUUGUCACAAACAGUUUACUUAUAAUCUGGAAUUUUUUGUAAUAUCAGACGAAUUCUGGAUUUCGACAGAACGAUUUUUCUAAUAAUAUUUUCUAUCAAUAAAUCAUUGGAUCAAACAUAUUUAAUGCCAUAAGGGCGAAAGCUCUUCAAGUACAUUGUUAAAAUUUUACGCUCUUGCAAACUUUCUCGUCUCAUGAGGUUCGAUUUGCAAAUGAGGGAAAUACAACGAUUCAACGGCCACAGUUGAUUGAAGCAUGUUAUUUUGUUUUCAACUUUGAUUUGACCAAAUUGUUCAAAUGUAAAAUCUCAGAUAAAAUAUAAAUGAUUCACGCCGUCA